rnacentral:rRNA from 1 species
GGCCAGCAUCAGUUUUGGCGGUAGGAUAAAUCCUGAGGAACGUGGCUUGCUUCGGCGUAAGUGUUAUAGCCUCUGGGAAUACUGCCAGCCGGGAAUGAGGACUGCGACAUCGUCAAGGAUGCUGGCAUAAU